AUGGAGAGCGAAACUCUGAAGCGCUCAGUCAGUGUUCAAAUCUCUGAUCUGAGUGAAAGCGUUCUUCGUGGAUUUCUUCUGAGUCUCUUCAUUAAAGCAGCAGAGAUUGAGACACAGACAGGAGAACAGAUGCUGGAACUGUUAGCAUCAGUCUGCAUCAGCUCUUCUAAUUAUAAAUGGACUGACAUAUUUUAUGAUUGGGAUUUCCUGCUGGAUCUGUGCUCACAUGUGAAGAACUAUGAGACUCAAACAGGCAGGAGUGUUCUUCCAGCAUUACAGUCAGUUUUCCAGUCACCUGAUGUCUGGAGCAUAGAUCUCUCAGAGAGAAAGAGCUCGGUCCUCCUGGAAGUGCUGAAGCUCCAGACAGAGAAGAGAACAGUCGAGCUCAGAAGAUGUUCAGAGAAAGAGAGAGACGUGAAGAGUUUCCUUCAGUGUCUGCAACACAUCUCACAGCUGAGACUCGACCUCACUCUCAAACCUAAAGCUGUCUCUGUCAGAAGAACAAGGCUUCUCUUCAGACACCUCACAAACAUACACACACUCAGGCUGAGUGGUUAUAUGCUGGUGAGAGUUGUGCAGGCGUUGAGGUUUAUGAAGGUUCGAGCUCCCAUCACCGUUAAUGAGCUCACACUUGAUCUGAAUGAGGAACAGCAGUCAGAAAGGAGUCUGUCCAGGAUCAUGAGCAAAUUAGCCAUCCUUCUGAGACUCUGGACGGUCAAGUGUUUGAACUUGACUGAAUACAAGAUUCAGUCUGUUUCUGUGUCUGUCCUGCUGUGUCACCAGGGACCAGUGACUCUCAGACUGUCCAAAGAGACUCUCCAGAAGCUUGUUAAUUGUGUUUAUGAAGCUCAGGAAGAGGAACUGACUCAGUGCUUCCUGCAGAAAGUGGGCAGGGAUCUGACUUCCUGUUCCUUGAGCUGGGAAGAGCUUCAUUAUUUCCUGCAGCACAGAAUUCAACAAAUCACUCUGAACCUCAGAAAAAGUAACAUUCAGGUCAACAUCAGAGAAAUUCUGCCAUUCCUGAACCGGAUUAAGUUUAAACGGAUGAGCUCUGCCUUCAUGCUGUGUGUUAUCAGAGAGAUCUAUGAGUCCGGCUCUGCUGGGUUUGUGUCCAGUCUGUUGAGUUCAGUGGAGAACUACAUUAACCUGCAGAGCAGAGAUCUGGACUCUGUUCACUGUGCGGCCCUGCGCUUCACACUGCAGCACUGCACUGCAGCUUCACUCAACCUGCUCUGGACCUCCAUACCUGAGGAAGAGCUGCAGAGCAUUCUGCCUCUCUUCACACACCUCUCCCACCUCAGUGUUGACAGGCUGCUGUUACUGAAGAUUCUUCACUGCUGCAGUGUCUCUGAUGUCCAGCAGGAAGCAGCAGCUGUUCUGCUCUCUGUCCUUCAGCACAAGCUGGACUUCUCCUGCUGCUCUGCUCUGGAUCUGACAGCAAACACAGACUCAGAGCCUCUACAUCUGACCGCUGACGACUGCCAUGAGAUGUCCAGAGUCAUUCAGAGAGCUGAUUCAGACACAAAGACACGGCUGAUUCUGCAGGACUGUGAGAUUCAUACAGCUGGCAUUUAUCAGCUGUUCCCAGUGUUACAUUCUGUUCAUCUCUGCUGUGAUAAACCUCUGCUGCUUCAGUUUCUGGCUCGUGUGAGGCCUGAGGAAGCCCAGUCUCUCUCUCAAGCUCUGGGUGAAGAGCUGGAUCUCAGUCAGACUCCGCUGGAUCCGCAGGUCUGUAGAGGUCUGGAGCUGAUUCUGGAAUAUUCUGAAGGACUGACAGAACUGGAUCUGAGUCAGUGCCGUCUCACCGAUCACAGCCUGGAUCUGCUGCUCCCAAACCUCCACAAAACUCAAAUCAUUGAUUUCAGUGGCAACAGCAUCACUGACGCUGGGGCUGAGAAGAUCUACAGUAUCGUCACUCGCAACAGUAACAUUGAGACAGUAAGGCUCUUCAACAACAGAAUUGAAUCCAGAGAGCUCUUCAGCAAAGACCCCCGAAUUGAGAUCUGGUGAUGUCUGGAAUCAACAAGCAGGUGAAAAUAACCAGUGCAGAGACAUUCAGUUUACUUGGUUUUUAUUGUACUUGUAUUUUAGCACUGACAAAUUAUUGAAAAAAAGUUUAUCAGCAUUAAAUUUCUCUUUUGAGUUUAGUACUGUUAUGUAAUUAGCAUAAUCUGAAUAGACUGUGGAGUGAUUUAUAUCUUUUAUUUUUAAUUACUAAAAAGAGCAGUCUGUGUGUAAAACUACUGGCAUAAAUUUUCAUGAGUGCUAUAAAAUGAUUAUGAUAGCAUAUAUUUGAAGAAAAGCGCUGCAUGCUUUGACAACUUGAUGUUUCAAUUUCAGUGUCUCUCUAGUAGUGGACAGCAAUGAUGUAUUGAUAACAAGAGCCCAGAUGAUCCACAGCAACGACAGAAAGGAGGAGAUAGACACGAAGACAACCAAAAUAAAGAGCAAGUGCAUUCUGAUUAGCUGAUCUUC
ensembl:lncRNA